GAUGAACGCUGGCGGCGUGCCUAAUACAUGCAAGUCGAGCGAACAGACGAGGAGCUUGCUCCUCUGACGUUAGCGGCGGACGGGUGAGUAACACGUGGAUAACCUACCUAUAAGACUGGGAUAACUUCGGGAAACCGGCGCUAAUACCGGAUAAUAUAUUGAACCGCAUGGUUCAAUAGUGAAAGACGGUUUUGCUGUCACUUCUAGCUGGAUCCGCGCCGCAUUAGCUAGUUGGUAAGGUAACGGCUUACCAAGGCAACGAUGCGUAGGCGAGCUGAGAGGGGGAUCGGCCACACUGGAACUGGAACACGGUCCAGACUCCUGCGAGAGGCAGCAGUAGGGAAUCUUCCGCAAUAGGCGAAAGCCUGACGGAGCAGCGCCGCGUGAGUGAUGAAGGUCUUCGGAUCGUAAAACUCUGUUAUUAGGGAAGAACAAAUGUGUAAGUAACUAUGCACGUCUUGACGGUACCUAAUCAGAAAGCCACGGCUAACUACGUG
rnacentral:rRNA from 1 species